AUUGAACGCUGACGGCAUGCCUUACACAUGCAAGUCGAACGGUAACAGGUUAAGCUGACGAGUGGCGAACGGGUGAGUAAUGUAUCGGAACGUGCCCAGUCGUGGGGGAUAACUGCUCGAAAGAGCAGCUAAUACCGCAUACGACCUGAGGGUGAAAGCGGGGGAUCGCAAGACCUCGCGCGAUUGGAGCGGCCGAUAUCAGAUUAGGUAGUUGGUGAGGUAAAGGCUCACCAAGCCGACGAUCUGUAGCUGGUCUGAGAGGACGACCAGCCACACUGGGACUGAGACACGGCCCAGACUCCUACGGGAGGCAGCAGUGGGGAAUUUUGGACAAUGGGCGCAAGCCUGAUCCAGCCAUGCCGCGUGCGGGAAGAAGGCCUUCGGGUUGUAAACCGCUUUUGUCAGGGAAGAAAAGGUUCUGGCUAAUACCUGGGACUCAUGACGGUACCUGAAGAAUAAGCACCGGCUAACUACGUGCCAGCAGCCGCCGUAA
rnacentral:rRNA from 1 species